rnacentral:rRNA from 1 species
GAUGAACGCUGGCGGCGUGCUUAACACAUGCAAGUCGAACGGAAAGGCUCCUGCUUGCAGGGGUGCUCGAGUGGCGAACGGGUGAGUAACACGUGGGUGAUCUGCCCUGCACUUCGGGAUAAGCCUGGGAAACUGGGUCUAAUACCGGAUAGGACCACAUUUUGGAUGGUGUGGUGGAAAGUUUUUCGGUGUGGGAUGAGCUCGCGGCCUAUCAGCUUGUUGGUGGGGUAAUGGCCUACCAAGGCGUCGACGGGUAGCCGGCCUGAGAGGGUGUACGGCCACAUUGGGACUGAGAUACGGCCCAGACUCCUACGGGAGGCAGCAGUGGGGAAUAUUGCACAAUGGGCGCAAGCCUGAUGCAGCGACGCCGCGUGGGGGAUGACGGCCUUCGGGUUGUAAACUCCUUUCGCUAGGGACGAAGCGUUUUUGUGACGGUACCUGGAGAAGAAGCACCGGCUAACUACGUG